AGCUGAUUACCAACUCCUACCACUUUUAACCCUCAUCCAGGAACGAACUUAUGUGUUUCCCAUUCUGAGUGGGCUUCAACAUCCUUGCAUAUGUUCAGUUCUUAAAAACCUGUUGAAAUGAGAGAUCAGGAGACAUAGGAAGAAUGGCAGAAGAGAGUGUGGUCUGCUGGAGUUUCCUGGUGGUACAUUCCAGAUGCUGUUUGCCUGGGUAUUACUGGCAGAGGCUGCAGAACAGCAAGACUACUGCCCGUUCCUUCCUCUGGAAGCUUUGUCCCAGAGUGACACCCGUCAGAUGCCAGCCAGAGCUUUCCUGUAUGAAGUGUCGGUCAGCCCCUCCUGGGAGAUGUCUCCAAGUCAAGUCUUCAAGAUUGUUUUGGCUCUAGCAAAACAAGUUGGAACAUUCACAUCAUCCAGUAGACCAUAUGGUCUAAGAAGUAGAGGAAAGCUCAAAUGCAGAGAACUGAACAUAUGUCAAAGAAGAGAGGAGAGAUGGGGCAGAGAAGACAGACUUCAUCUUUGUCUAAGAAAGAAGCUGUAUAAUCAAUAG
rnacentral:lncRNA from 13 species